rnacentral:snoRNA from 1 species
AAAAAUCUGGUUGGCCCUAGGAUUCAAAAGCAAAGGAUCCCUGUGCUUCCUGCCUGUCUUUGUGGCAUCCCAGUUUGAACUGGGGAGAACAUCA